rnacentral:misc_RNA from 1 species
GAUGAAGAACGCAGCGAAAUGCGAUAAGUAAUGUGAAUUGCAGAAUUCAGUGAAUCAUCGAAUCUUUGAACGCACAUUGCGCCCCUUGGUAUUCCGAGGGGCAUGCCUGUUCGAGCGUCAUUAUAACCCCUCAAGCUCAGCUUGGUGUUGGGGCCUGCUGCACUGGCAGCCCUUAAAAUCAGUGGCGGCGCCAUCUGGCUCUAAGCGUAGUAAUUCUUCUCGCUAUGGAGUCCUGGUGGAUGCUUGCCAUCAACCCCCAAUUUUUCUAUGGUUGACCUCGGAUCAGGUAGGGAUACCCGCUGAACUUAAUCAUAUCAAUAAGCGGAGGA